CCUGUGCCCACCUCAAGGGUUGGGAGAAGGGCGACCCGCGGGAGCGCCGCGAGGCGGCCACAGCCCACAGCCCUCCACGAGCCGGAGAACCGCCGCCGCGCCGUGCGCGAAGGCGCGGCGCCCGCGCUCGCCGCGCUCGCCGACUUUGCCGCCAUCGGCUCUGCCUGCUCCCCUGCGGGUGCAUCACGGCCUGAGGCGCCGGCGCUCCCCACCUGCGGAUUCACCGCCACCGCCGCCGCUCAUCUCCAAGAUCCGAGGGCGGUCGGAGUGGAGGUGCCCGUGGUUGACCCGUUGGUGAUGUGAUUAUUGGGUCAGGAACUUCUUUCUCCACUUCCGAGGACAAGAGGACUACAACAGGCCGAGGCCUCUUAGCUACAGAGGAUUACAUCAACACUGGUGAUGCUUCCAACAGUGGAGGUUUGGACUUUGCCCCUUGACAACAUAUCUGGGAGAGAGAUGUUUCUGCAUAGCCCAGCUGCUGACCAAUUCAUUGUUGACAGCUUGUAGUAGGCUAGCUAAGAGCAGACCAUCUUCAAAUGAAAUCCGAUACUUAUAUUCAUUGUUGACCAAUUUUCUAGUUUAUUUAGUUAAUCAUUGUUGACAGCUACUUUGUUUGCUAUUUAUUUGUGACGUGUGCUGGCUGGUACCAACAUGAUACGUAUAUUUGCUUUGUUGAGCCAUGCUGGCUUUGUACUA